rnacentral:rRNA from 1 species
CCCGGUGUCAGCGUUAUUCGGAAUUAUUGGGCGUAAGGGCGCGUAGGCGGUCCUGUUAGUCAGAUGUGAAAGCCCGGGGACUCAACCCCGGAAAGUGCAUUUGAAACGGCAGGACUUGUAGUAUGGGAGAGGGAAGUGGAAUUCCUGGCUGUAGAGGUGAAAUUCGUAGAUAUCUGGAGGAACAUCUGUGGCGAAGGCGACUUCCUGGACCAAUACUGACGCUGAGGCGCGAAGGCGUGGGUAGCAAACAGGAUUAGAUACCCUGGUAGUCCACGCAGUAAACGGUGAUCACUAGGUGUAGCGGGUAUUGACCCCUGCUGUGCCGGAGUUAACGCAUUAAGUGAUCCGCCUGGGGAGUACGAUCGCAAGAUUAAAACUCAAAGGAAUUGACGGGGGCCCGCACAAGCGGUGGAGCAUGUGGUUUAAUUCGACGCAACGCGAAGAACCUUACCUGGAUUUGACAUCCCGGGAAUCCCUUAGAAAUUUGGGAGUGCCCUUCGAGGAACCUGGAGACAGGUGCUGCAUGGCUGUCGUCAGCUCGUGUCGUGAGAUGUUGGGUUAAGUCCCGCAACGAGCGCAACCCUUAUCUUUAGUUACCAGCAUUUCGGAUGGGGACUCUAGAGAUACUGCCCCGGUCAACGGGGAGGAAGGUGGGGAUGACGUCAAGUCCUCAUGGCCUUUAUGUCCAGGGCUACACACGUGCUACAAUGGGCGGAACAAAGGGUAGCAAUACCGCGAGGUGGAGCUAAUCUCAAAAAGCCGUCCCAAGUUCGGAUUGGAGUCUGCAACUCGACUCCAUGAAGCUGGAAUCGCUAGUAAUACGCGGAUCAGCAUGCCGCGGUGAAUACGUUACCCGGGCCUUGUACACACCGCCCGUCACACCAUGAGAGUUGGUUGUACCAGAAGUUGUUGGGCUAACCUUUAGAGGAGGCAGGCACCUAAGUAUGGCUGAUAAUGGG